CCCUAACUACCUUGAGGAUAUGAUUAUCCAACAAUAUUUAUACUAUCUGGAUUCCUAAAAAAAAAAAAAAAAAAACUAAACAUUUUGGGUCUUUAAUGGGCUGACACACAGUGUUGUUCUAAGCCUUUUCUAAUGUUAUUUACGUGCUCAUAUUUUCUAUUAUGGAGAGGGCGUAUAGGCCGGCCAACAUACUGUAGCCCGCACGGACAUAUUAAAAGGUAAAUAAUGUUUUUACUACAGCAGGUGAUAAAACCAUUAAUAAAAAAAAUCUCCUUCUUUAUGUUUAGUUUUAAAUUUACCUACAUCUUUCAGGGUUUUAUUUAUACUGCAUUUACAGCCCACACACGUGCCACAUGAAUACGUUUUUUUUCUCAUUUAAAAAAGUUCUCUCCUCCUCCUCUCCUAUCCUCCUCUUCGGCUGAAUGCGCAUGCGCAGCACAGUGAGACAGCCACUAGAGCAGGGGUUCUCAACCCAGUCCUCAAGGACCCCCUACCAGUCCAGGA